CAACAUGGAAAUAAUUCAUAGCAGCAAGUCUAGCAGCUAUUAGUGUACAACCAGGAAGAGAAGGAGAACAGCCUUCUAUCUUCAUACCCAACUUUAUAAAACGGGAAAAUAGUCUUUCGCAUUAGUUUUCUAUUUUUCUCUGUUCCAUUUUAUACAAUUUCAGCAAAUUAUAUUGAAACUAAAAUGGAACUCAAAUUUCCUGUCAUAACAAUCUUGGUGUGUUCAUGACCCAACUAUGCUUAGACUCUAACCAGAAGUCUACUUGUCAUACUUUUGCACCCAGGA
rnacentral:misc_RNA from 1 species